AUUAUUUCAAGGUGUUAUCCCGAAAGUUUCCCUCUGCAGUACUUAUCAAGUGGCGACGAGGUAAAAAGUUAUUGAAACGUGCUUAUUGACGAACGCUGAGCAACUUUGGUUAGUGGUGAUUUUGGUGCGGUGGCCCGGAGGAUAAUCUGCAUAACUACGGCGUAUAUACGGGGUCAUCGAACAACAAAAAAGAACGGAUCGAACUGAUUUCGGGUGCAGUGGUUUAGGACCUAUUAUCUCGCCUAAUAUUGAAGUUGAUCUGCCGCUAAUUUGUUGAAGUUUCGUUCGGCGGGGUCGGUGGCCAUUGAAACGCGAAAGAACAGUGUACGUUAACGCCGAAGUUGACGCUGAUUGGCAUCCAUACACUCUGCUCAGUGGCGAGAGCUUUGGUCAUCGGCGAUAAGGACUCAGGCGACAGGUGAAAAUCGGGUGAAUAGACGAAACUGUGGUUGGACAAAUCUCCGCCGCAUCCUAUUCGCUAGCUAACUGGCUAGUGCGAGUUGAAGUUGGCAGAUAUCUGGUGGAAAUUGGAAGCGUGCGAACAACAGCUCAUCGCACACAAAUUCGACCGUUUAUUGAACCGACCGUGCCGGAUCGACCUAACUUGAUGCUCCCUAUGACGAAUACUCGUAGUAUGACUAGAGCAAUCGGCGAGUCAGCUGAGAUGCCUACACCGGACAUUAGUUGUGAAGAUCCUGGAGCGGAUGCUGGGAAGCCAACUCGCUCGAGGCGGAAGAGAAGGAUGGAGAGCACAACGCCUAUUGAAUUAAGGCGUUCGAAACGAUCUAGGAUGAGCAAGACCGAUCCGGAUUUCGUGUAUUUUAAUUAGAGUUUGAAGUGUGAAUAAUUGUCCGUUCGGAUUGAAAGCGACAGUUAGAGAAGAACUUGCGUAAGGGUAAAGGAGUUGUUGUGUCUCGAUAUGAGAUACGUUCUGAAAUAGACUGAUGAAUUACAUACAGUGUGCUGAAUUAUCACUUUUGCUUCUUCAUUAUUAUUUAGUGUGUAAUGUAUAUGUCAUUUGACAAGCUAUUAAUGUAGCGUCAGUAUAUAAAUAUACAAAUGUAUAUGUAUGCAAUUUGAG